CUCUCCGUAGCUCAGCUGGCAGAGCAGAUGACUCUUAAUCAUCGGGUCGUAGGUUCGAAUCCUACCGGGGAGA
rnacentral:tRNA from 1 species